GAGAUGCUGGUGGCGGACGGGCCGUGAGAAGGAAGGUGGCAGGCGUGGGUCGGAUUGAGUGGGCGUGCAGGGGGCGUGGGCGGUUGUCGAGGGCCUCCGGGACAUCUCCGGGCCUAACCCGGUAAGGGCGGAGGGGACUGCUCGGCUAGAGGAUGGGAGAGGAGCGCGGAAUUCCCGGUGUAGCGGUGAAAUGCGUAGAGAUCGGGAGGAGGGCCGGUGGCGAAGGCGGCGCUCUGGAACAUUUCUGACGCUGAGGCUCGAAAGCGUGGGGAGCAAACAGGAUUAGAUACCCGUGUAGUC
rnacentral:rRNA from 1 species